UGAUUUUUGGAAGAGGAACUCCUUACUAAAUUUGAUAUUUGUCCAAUUACUGACAACGUGGAUGACACACAACAGAAGCAACUGACAAAAGCAACGUUGCUGUUGAAACUUCAACAAAAUAUGGGUGUGGUAAUAGCAGCUGCUGUUGCAGUCUUUGCAUCGAUCUUCUCUUUCAAUUACUUCAGUGAUUAAACUCAAGCAAGCAGAGCUUCAUGGAAGUAUUGGCCAGUUACAAGAUGGAAACAUCUGGGUUUAAUAUAUUAGUAAUUAAAAAUGGUUGCCUAAAUAUCACCAGUUAAAUGUGCAAUAUAAAUUGUAACGAUAGGUUCAGUUUCCUUGUUCCAGCAUGCACUUACUAUAUCAAGUAGAAUUAUGCGGUUACCAUACCAAGUAGAAGGUGAAUCAAGUUUGCAAAGAAACUAGCCCUGUCUGUCUGUAUAAAUGAAUAACAGUAUUAUUUUCUGGAAACAUCCCUUAAAAAACGUAGAACCUUCAUUUUCUUCCUACUUGGUGUUUUAAUGCAAAAUGCUACUACUGGUGUUUUUCAGGCUAUUGGUAAAACUAGCGUAGUUCAUGGUAUGACGAUUCUUGCUUUAAGGGUUCCUUUGCUAAGAGAAAUCUUAUUAAAGUUUAUUGGGGAGAAAUAAGUUUUAAUGAAGCCAACAUUCCACCAUAUACAUUAUUUUGGGUAAUAUUGAUUAACUAGCAUAAUAGAUAUACAAAUAGUCUAGGAGUUUAAUGACUAAUCCGAUUCAGCUUGUGAAUCCCUUAGUUCAAGAAAUCAAUAAAAUGCAUAGAACUUUUGAGAUGUGUUUAUGCUUUUACUCAGUGACUCUUGAUGAGGAUUUCUCUGUCCAGCUCUGAUUGAAUCAUGAUUCUCUUGGAAUAUUAACUAUUUCAGCAACAGCUACAUCUAAGCAGCCCUUGUGGAUUAUCUUGUAGAUACAUGCGAUUUGUCAAAAUCGUUUGCCAAUCAGGAUUAUUAGACUAUAAACAGAUACCUUUCCAUUAUGAGAUAUUUUCCUGGGUAUGUUAGGCAAUAAUGUUAUUGUUUAGUUGCCAUGAGGAGAGCAGGAGGAGUGAAGAAUUCCAGUAAGGUUAAUAAAGAUAGUUUGUGUAUGAAAUGUGAUGUUUACUUGGAUCUGAACUGUAACAGAAAAGAAUUCCAGAUUUUAGGGUAUUUUAAUACCACUGCAGAUGUCUUUUUUUGUAUAAAGGCACUGGAACACUAAGAUGGGAUACUUUUAAUAAAAAGCAAUUAUGAGAAAGAUGUCUUAAAUA